UACAGAGGUCCCGAGCGUUGUUCGGAUUCACUGGGCGUAAAGGGUGCGUAGGUGGUGAGGCAAGUCGGUCGUGAAAUCCUUCGGCUCAACCGAAGAACGUCGGCCGAUACUGCCGUUCUUGAGGGAUGCAGAGGAGAUUGGAAUUCCCGGUGUAGCGGUGAAAUGUGUAGAGAUCGGGAGGAACACCGGUGGCGAAGGCGGGUCUCUGGGCAUCUCCUGACGCUGAGGCGCGAAAGCGUGGGGAGCAAACGGG
rnacentral:rRNA from 1 species